CAGCAGCCGCGGGAAUACAGAGGUCCCGAGCGUUGUUCGGAUUCACUGGGCGUAAAGGGUGUGUAGGAGGUUGGAUAAGUCAAGUGUGAAAUCCCGCAGCUCAACUGCGGAACUGCAUUCGAUACUGUUCAACUAGAGGAUCGGAGGGGGAAGCGGAAUUCUUGGUGUAGCGGUGAAAUGCGUAGAUAUUGGGAAGAACACCGGUGGCGAAGGCGGCAACCUGGUCCUUGACUGACGCUGAGGCGCGAAAGCGUGGGGAGCAAACAGGAUUAGAGACCCCAGUAGUCCCUGUCUCUUAUAC
rnacentral:rRNA from 1 species